rnacentral:rRNA from 1 species
AUUGAACGCUGGCGGCAGGCUUUACACAUGCAAGUCGAGCGGAGCGAGGGUGCUUGCACCUUAGCUUAGCGGCGGACGGGUGAGUAAUGCUUAGGAAUCUGCCUAUUAGUGGGGGACAACAUUCCGAAAGGAAUGCUAAUACCGCAUACGCCCUACGGGGGAAGGCAGGGGAUCUUCGGACCUUGCGCUAAUAGAUGAGCCUAAGUCGGAUUAGCUAGUUGGUGGGGUAAAGGCCUACCAAGGCGACGAUCUGUAGCGGGUCUGAGAGGAUGAUCCGCCACACUGGGACUGAGACACGGCCCAGACUCCUACGGGAGGCAGCAGUGGGGAAUAUUGGACAAUGGGCGGAAGCCUGAUCCAGCCAUGCCGCGUGUGUGAAGAAGGCCUUUUGGUUGUAAAGCACUUUAAGCGAGGAGGAGGCUACUUAGAUUAAUACUCUGGGAUAGUGGACGUUACUCGCAGAAUAAGCACCGGCUAACUCUGUGCCAGCCGCCGCAGUAACAC